ACUAUAUAUGUGUGGUUUGAUGCAUUACUAGGCACUAUCAGAGGAAGCAGGGCAAGCUAAUCUACAAAGUGCUGUUUCUUCAGGUUGGCCUGCCUCACUACACUUGAUUGGAAAGGUAUAAGCAUCUUCUAUGCAUUUAUGAUUUUUUUUUCUCAGAAGUAUAAUACACUUUUUUUGAAUGUUUCUUCAAUUUGAUUGGCACGCUAUUCGCAAUUGACACCAAAAUGUGAUGUCAUUUUCCAUGUUAUUAAUCCCAAUUGAUCCCUGAACAGGUUCCACCUCUGUAUAUGGAAUGUGGUUUAUUGUGUCAUGUGCUCUCUAAAGAUGCUAAUUGGAAAGUUUGUGUAAUUGACCACUUAAUAGCUGUACUAAAUCUAUUAUCUUUAUUCUAAUUAUUAAAACCUAAUAUAAGCUGUAAGAUCCCUGACUCAUUCAUUAAUUUUGCACAUAAUUAUCUCUCCAGGUAGUUUGCUGUAUUUAAGCAUUUGACUUUGAUCAUGCAUGCUGUGAAAUCUGACCUCAUAUUGUUGGCACAAAUUCUAUUAAACAUUAUUAAUGCUAGAUUUUAGUUUCUUUUGAAAGAGAAGUAACACUGUUUACAUAUCAAAAUUCCUUAAUUGGUUUUGCUGCUGACUGCUGUUGUAUGAGACCGGCAAAUAUGGAAUGACAUAAACUUUGGUGAGAGUGAAGCAGACAAAGAUCACACGCUGUUGGAAUUGGAGGGGGAAUGCUUAGAAGUAUACGGGCCAAAGGUUGAGGAGGCUGCCAAUGCCAAGGCACGCCCCCAUAGUCUGUUGCAGCCAAAGAAGCUGAACUUGCCACUCUCAUGGCUGAAGACCUCCAUCAGGAUUUUGUGACUAUUGUGGACUUGGUAAUAUACUAAUUUGUGGUCUUUUGAUGUAUGUGAGGUUGUGGAACACAUUGAAAGAUAUUUGGAGCAUUUUAUAUAAUAUUGUGUUUUGAGAUA